UCUGAUCAUAUUUUCAAGGAUGCCAAAUAAUUGUUUCAGUAGGCCAAACGACAAGUGAUCUUCACUAGAAGCCCCGCAACAAUCCAACAAGCUAUAAGAAUCAUCUCCUUCCUUCCUUGGCACAUUCUGGAUCAUUUACAGCAUACUGGCAUUUUGAAUUAAGAUGGGGAAGCCAUUCCAAGAACACCGCCACCACCAUCUUAUACUGUGGAUUUAUGCGUGAAUAAAAAGUAACACUUCUGUAAUUGCUGCAGAGGUGCACCCAAAAACACAAGCUAGUCAAUCUCGAGGACCAUCAAGUUUUCAAAGCUGGCUUCAUUGCCAUAUGCCUCUCAAUCAAUUUAUCCACGAAGG
rnacentral:misc_RNA from 1 species